rnacentral:rRNA from 1 species
CUGGCCGUAAACGAUGGAUACUAGGUGUCAGCGGUAUCGACCCCGCUGGUGCCGGAGCUAACGCGUGAAGUAUCCCGCCUGGGGAGUACGGCCGCAAGGUUGAAACUCAAAGGAAUUGACGGGGGCCCGCACAAGCGGUGGAGUAUGUGGUUUAAUUCGAUGCAACGCGAAGAACCUUACCAGGGCUUGACAUCCCGGGAACCCGCCUGAAAGGGCGGGGUGCCCUUCGGGGAGCCCGGAGACAGGUGG